rnacentral:tRNA from 1 species
GGGGUUGUGGCUCAGUGAUAGAGCACUCACCUAGCACAGGGGAAGCACUGGGUUCAAUCCUCAGCACCACA